CUCACUUUAGUUUUUUUAAAACUUUCUCUUGCUAAAAAUUUUAACUUUUCCUAUCUAAAAAAUUCAAUUCUCAAAUAAUUUUUGAGUAUUUGAGCCCACCAAAAAAGCAUAUAAAAAAAAACAAGACUCAAAACAUAUAUAUCAGAACUGCAUUACAAAUGUUUAACCAUUGUUACACAUCUAAUCUAGUUAAUUAGUUGUAGGUAUAUAAUGUAUCAAAAUAGAAGUGCUUAUUUUCAUUCAAAG
rnacentral:lncRNA from 1 species